UACGAGGGGGGCAAGCGUUGUUCGGAAUUAUUGGGCGUAAAGGGCGCGUAGGCGGUGCGGUAAGUCACCUGUGAAAACUCUGGGCUCAACUCAGAGCCUGCAGGCGAAACUGCCGUGCUUGAGUGUGGGAGAGGUGCGUGGAAUUCCCGGUGUAGCGGUGAAAUGCGUAGAUAUCUGGAGGAACACCGGUGGCGAAGGCGGCCUGCUGGGCAGUUACUGACACUGAGGCGCGACAGCGUGGGGAGCAAACAGG
rnacentral:rRNA from 1 species